rnacentral:rRNA from 1 species
UAGGGAAUCUUCGGCAAUGGGGGGAACCCUGACCGAGCAACGCCGCGUGAGUGAAGAAGGUUUUCGGAUCGUACAGCUCUGUUGUUAAGGAAGAACGAGUGUGAGAAUGGAAAGUUCAUGCUGUGACGGUACUUAACCAGACAGGGACGGCUAACUACGUGCCAGCAGCCGCGGUAAUACGUAGGUCCCGAGCGUUGUCCGGAUUUAUUGGGCGUAAAGCGAGCGCAGGAGGUUAGAAAAGUCUGAUGUGAAAGCCCACGGCUCAACCGUGGAGGGUCAUUGGAAACUAAUAAACUUGAGUGCAGGAGAGAAAAGUGGAAUUCCUAGUGUAGCGGUGAAAUGCGUAGAGAUUAGGAGGAACACCGGUGGCGAAAGCGGCUUUUUGGCCUGCAACUGACACUGAGGCGCGAAAGCGUGGGGAGCAAACAGG